GCGGCUACCACAUCUAAGGAAGGCAGCAGGCGCGUAAAUUACCCAAUCCUGACUCAGGGAGGUAGUGACAAGAAAUAACAACCCGGGGUAUUCAUUUACUUACGGGAUUGCAAUGAGAACAAUUUAAAUCACUUAGCGAGGAUCAAUUGGAGGGCAAGUCUGGUGCCAGCAGCCGCGGUAAUUCCAGCUCCAAUAGUGUAUAUUAAAGUUGUUGCAGUUAAAAAGCUCGUAGUUGAACUUCUGGCAGUGUGCAGUUAUGGCUUCGGUCAGACUGUUCGCUGUCAUCCGUCUGCAAACCUUGUUCGGCCUUCACUGGUACGGCAAGGGGAGUAGACAUUUUACUUUGAAAAAAUUAGAGUGUUUCAAGCAGGCUAUGGCCAGAAUACUUUAGCAUGGAAUAAUGGAAUAGGACUCUUGUCCAUUUGGUUGGUUAUUGGAUUAGAGUAAUGAUUAAUAGGGACAGUUGGGGGCAUUAGUAUUUAAUUGUCAGAGGUGAAAUUCAUGGAUUUAUUAAAGACUAACUUAUGCGAAAGCAUUUGCCAAGGAUGUUUUCAUUAAUCAAGAACGAAAGUUAGGGGAUCAAAGACGAUCAGAUACCGUCCUAGUCUUAACUAUAAACGAUGUCGACUCGGGAUUGGAAAGGUCAAUUUAUCCUUUCCAGCACCGUAUGAGAAAUCAUUAAGUCUUUGGAUUCUGGGGGGAGUAUGGUCGCAAGGCUGAAACUUAGAGGAAUUGACGGAAGAGCACCACCAGGCGUGGGACCUGCGGCUUAAUUUGACCCAACACGGGAAAACUUAUUUCGGCAAAACAUGAGUGGGAUUGACAGAUUGAGAGCUCUUUCUUGAUUUUAUGGGGUGUGGUGCAUGGCCGUUCUUAGUUGGUGGAGUGAUUUGUCUGGUUAAUUCCGUUAACGAACGAGACCUUAACCUGCUAACUAGUCUCCUCGUCACCAACGGGGGGUACUUCUUAGAGGGACUAUGGUUCGAUAAGACCAUGGAAGUUUGAGGCAAUAACAGGUCUGUGAUGCCCAUAGAUGUCGAAAGCGGCACGCGCGUCAUACUGUCCUGUAACAGCAAGUUACUUCCUCUCUCGGAAGAGAAGGGGUAAUCUAUAAAACAGGACGUGGUAGGGAUAGAUCUUUGGAAUUAUAGAUCCUGAACGAAGAAUGCCUAGUAAGUGCAAGUCAUCAACUUGUGCUGAUUACGUCCCUGUCCUUUGUACACACCGCCCGUCGCUCCUACCGAUUGAGCGAUAUGGUGAACCUCCUGGACCGUGAGAUUCCUCGUGAUCUUGUGGAAAGUUUAGUAAGCCUUAUCGCUUAGAGGAAGGAGAAGUCGUAACAAGGUA
rnacentral:rRNA from 1 species